rnacentral:rRNA from 1 species
UGGGCUUCGGAAUUAUUGGGCGUAAGCGCGCGCAGGUGGUUUCUUAAGUCUGAUGUGAAAGCCCACGGCUCAACCGUGGAGGGUCAUUGGAAACUGGGAGACUUGAGUGCAGAAGAGGAAAGUGGAAUUCCAUGUGUAGCGGUGAAAUGCGUAGAGAUAUGGAGGAACACCAGUGGCGAAGGCGACUUUCUGGUCUGUAACUGACACUGAGGCGCGAAAGCGUGGGGAGCAAACAGGAUUAGAUACCCUGGUAGUCCACGCCGUAAACGAUGAGUGCUAAGUGUUAGAGGGUUUCCGCCCUUUAGUGCUGAAGUUAACGCAUUAAGCACUCCGCCUGGGGAGUACGGCCGCAAGGCUGAAACUCAAAGGAAAUUGACGGA